rnacentral:rRNA from 1 species
GACGAACGCUGGCGGCGUGCCUAAUACAUGCAAGUAGAACGCAGUUGCGAACGGGUGAGUAACGCGUAGGUACCUUCCUCAUCGCGGGGGAUAACUAUUGGAAACGAUUGCUAAUACCUCAUACUGUGAGAUGCACCUGUGUUGUAUUAGGUAGUUGGUGAGGUAAAGGCUCACCAAGGCGACGAUACAUAGCCGACCUGAGAGGGGGGUCCGGCAAACUGGGAAUGGGACACGGCCCAAGCUCCCUCCGGGAGGCACAGUAGGGAAUCUUCGGCAAUGGACGGAAAUCUGGACCGGGCACGGCGGGGGAGUUGAGAAGGGUUUCGGAUCGGAAAGCUCUGUUGUUAAGGAAGCGGUAUCUAACCAGAAAGGGACGGCUAACUACGUGCCAGCAGCCGCGGUAAUAC